UUUUCUAUAAUAAUGUUUUUUAGAUAAAUUUUGAGCUGUUAUAUUUUAGAAAAAAUCUCAAAUACCAUUCCUGUGGUUUCUCAUUUUCUUUUGUAUCCUAUAGUUUAAAGGGUGCGUUUGGUUCACGCUAUCUUUUUAACAUUUCUAAUAAUUCAAUAGGAAUAAAAAAAUAUGACGGUGUUUGGCUAAACAUAUACUAAGUAAUCUAGUUGGUAAUAUUAGAUUUACUUGGAAAUGAGAUUCAUCUCAAAGUAUUAAUCUCAUUUUCUUGAGGGAGAGUGGUUAUCCUUAUAUUAAUGGACUGUGGUAAUCAUAGUAUGCCUAAUAUCUUUCUUUUUCCGACCCGCCGGCUAGUUGGUAUUGUUUUUCUUUACACUCUAACCUCAUAUCUCUUUCUAAACUUAUUUUUUCUUUCUAAACUUCAACUCUUUUUCUCUCUCUAAACUAAACUAAGCUCUCGCUCCCCUCUUUUUUUUUAAAUCUCAACUCUCUCACUCUCUCUAAUCUCGACUCUAUUUCUGUUCCUAUUUCUUUAAUUAUGCUCUCUCUCUCUCUAACUUAUGUUUUCUCUAUCCUCUUUUUAAAAAAAUUGUUAAAAUUUUUGGUGACAUUAUCUAAAAUUAAUUAAAUAAAUAAAUUAGUUAAUUGUAUAUUUUUAAUUUGUAAACUUAAAUAACAUGACUAAAUAAUAUAACCAUGCAUACCAAACAUAGGAAUGCCACAUUCUUAGUACUAGGAUGAAUAGAAAUAAGAUUCUCGGACAUUUUUUUAUUGCUGGUAAUCUUUUAUAGUGCAAACCAAACACACCCAAAGUGUAUCAAUUUAAUACUCCGUGGUUUCGCUUUUCUCUUUUUAUUAUCCCUUCACUAAUUUUUUUUUUCUUUAAGUCUGUGACAAAGUUAAAACUAAAAGAUAUUAAAGUAAAUAUUCGAUAAAUCUAUAUAGGAUAUUUGAAAUUUUUUUGUAUAUAUUUUAACGAAAUGUUAACGGAGGAGCUAGAGAAAAAUAAAAUCAUAGAGUACUAAAUUAUUAAUACACUUUAAAUUUAAUGGUAAUAAAGUGAGAAAAUGUGAAAUCACAAAGAUGAUGUUUGAAGUUUAC
rnacentral:lncRNA from 1 species